AUGAACGCUAGCGACAGGCUUAACACAUGCAAGUCGAGGGGCAGCACAGGUAGCAAUACCGGGUGGCGACCGGCGCACGGGUGAGUAACGCGUAUGCAACUUACCUAUCAGAGGGGGAUAACCCGGCGAAAGUCGGACUAAUACCGCAUGAAGCAGGGGCCCCGCAUGGGGAUAUUUGCUAAAGAUUUAUCGCUGAUAGAUAGGCAUGCGUUCCAUUAGGCAGUUGGCGGGGUAACGGCCCACCAAACCGACGAUGGAUAGGGGUUCUGAGAGGAAGGUCCCCCACAUUGGUACUGAGACACGGACCAAACUCCUACGGGAGGCAGCAGUGAGGAAUAUUGGUCAAUGGGCGCGAGCCUGAACCAGCCAAGUCGCGUGAGGGAUGAAGGUUCUAUGGAUCGUAAACCUCUUUUAUAAGGGAAUAAAGUGCGGGACGUGUCCCGUUUUGUAUGUACCUUAUGAAUAAGGAUCGGCUAACUCCGUGCCAGCAGCCGCGGUAAUACGGAGGAUCCGAGCGUUAUCCGGAUUUAUUGGGUUUAAAGGGUGCGUAGGCGGCCUUUUAAGUCAGCGGUGAAAGUCUGUGGCUCAACCAUAGAAUUGCCGUUGAAACUGGGGGGCUUGAGUAUGUUUGAGGCAGGCGGAAUGCGUGGUGUAGCGGUGAAAUGCUUAGAUAUCACGCAGAACCCCGAUUGCGAAGGCAGCCUGCCAAGCCAUGACUGACGCUGAUGCACGAAAGCGUGGGGAUCAAACAGGAUUAGAUACCCUGGUAGUCCACGCAGUAAACGAUGAUCACUAGCUGUUUGCGAUACAGUGUAAGCGGCACAGCGAAAGCGUUAAGUGAUCCACCUGGGGAGUACGCCGGCAACGGUGAAACUCAAAGGAAUUGACGGGGGCCCGCACAAGCGGAGGAACAUGUGGUUUAAUUCGAUGAUACGCGAGGAACCUUACCCGGGUUUGAACGCAUUCGGACCGAGGUGGAAACACCUUUUCUAGCAAUAGCCGUUUGCGAGGUGCUGCAUGGUUGUCGUCAGCUCGUGCCGUGAGGUGUCGGCUUAAGUGCCAUAACGAGCGCAACCCUUGCCACUAGUUACUAACAGGUAAAGCUGAGGACUCUGGUGGGACUGCCAGCGUAAGCUGCGAGGAAGGCGGGGAUGACGUCAAAUCAGCACGGCCCUUACAUCCGGGGCGACACACGUGUUACAAUGGCGUGGACAAAGGGAUGCCACCUGGCGACAGGGAGCGAAUCCCCGAACCACGUCUCAGUUCGGAUCGGAGUCUGCAACCCGACUCCGUGAAGCUGGAUUCGCUAGUAAUCGCGCAUCAGCCAUGGCGCGGUGAAUACGUUCCCGGGCCUUGUACACACCGCCCGUCAAGCCAUGGGAGCCGGGGGUACCUGAAGUCCGUAACCGCGAGGAUCGGCCUAGGGUAAAACUGGUGACUGGGGCU
rnacentral:rRNA from 1 species